rnacentral:rRNA from 1 species
AGUGAACGCUGGCGGUAGGCCUAACAUAUGCAAGUCGAACGGCAGCACAGUAAGAGCUUGCUCUUACGGGUGGCGAGUGGCGGACGGGUGAGGAAUACAUCGGAAUCUACUUUUUCGUGGGGGAUAACGUAGGGAAACUUACGCUAAUACCGCAUACGCCCUCCGGGUGAAUGCAGGGGCUCUUCGGACCUUGCGCGAUUGAAUGAGCCGAUGUCGGAUUAGCUAGUUGGCGGGGUAAAGGCCCACAAAGGCGACGAUCCGUAGCUGGUCUGAGAGGAUGGUCAGCCACACUGGAACUGAGACACGGUCAAGACUCCUACGGAAGGCAGAAUGGGGGAAUAUUAGACGAUAGGCGCAAGCCUGAUCCAGACAGACCGGGUGGGUGAAAAAGGCCUUCGGGUUGUAAAGACCUUUUGUUGGGAAAGAAAAGCAGCAGGUUAAUACCCCGCUGUUCUGACGGUGCCCAAAGAAUAGGCUCCGGCUAACUUCGUG